rnacentral:rRNA from 1 species
GCAUAUCAAUAAGCGGAGGAAAAAGAAACCAACAGGGAUUGCCCUAGUAACGGCGAGCGAAGCGGCAACAGCUCAAAUUUGAAAUCUGGUCUUCUGGGCCCGAGUUGUAAUUUGCAGAGGAUGCUUCUGGCAAGGUGCCUUCCGAGUUCCCUGGAACGGGACGCCAUAGAGGGUGAGAGCCCCGUACGGUUGGACACCGAGCCGUUGUGUAGCUCCUUCAACGAGUCGAGUAGUUUGGGAAUGCUGCUCUAAAUGGGAGGUAUAUCUCUUCUAAAGCUAAAUACCGGCCAGAGACCGAUAGCGCACAAGUAGAGUGAUCGAAAGAUGAAAAGCACUUUGAAAAGAGAGUUAAACAGCACGUGAAAUUGUUGAAAGGGAAGCGCUUGUGACCAGACUUGUGCCCGGUGAAUUAGCUGGUGUUCUCACCAGUCGACUUUGCCGGCUCAGGCCAGCAUCGGUUUGUUAUUGGGGAGAAAAACGAUGGGAAUGUGGCUCCUUCGGGAGUGUUAUAGCCCGCCGUAUAAUACCCUUUGGCAGACCGAGGACCGCGCAUCUGCAUGGAUGCUGGCGUAAUGGUCACCAGCGACCCGUCUUGAAACACGGACCAAGGAGUCAACCUUAUGUGCAAGUGUUUGGGUGUUAAACCCCUACGCGGAAUUAACGUGAACGUAGGUGAGAGCCUUCGGGCGCAUCAUCGACCGAUUCUGAUGUUCUCGGAUGGAUUUGAGUAAGAGCACACAGGGUUGGACCCGAAAGAAGGUGAACUAUGCUUGUAUAGGGUGAAGCCAGAGGAAACUCUGGUGGAGGCUCGCAGCGGUUCUGACGUGCAAAUCGAUCGUCAAAUAUGAGCAUGGGGGCGAAAGACUAAUCGAACCUUCUAGUAGCUGGUUCCAGCCGAAG